AGUAAGUUUUAUGAUUAAGCUACUAAGGGCGUACGGUGGAUGCCUUGGCGCCAGAAGGCGAAGAAGGACGUGGCAAGCUGCGAUAAGCCUCGGGGAGCCGCAAGCAGGCUUUGAUCCGAGGAUUUCCGAAUGGGGAA
rnacentral:rRNA from 1 species